rnacentral:rRNA from 1 species
UACGUAGGGGGCAAGCGUUGUCCGGAAUUAUUGGGCGUAAAGAGCUCGUAGGCGGUUUGUUGCGUCGGCUGUGAAAUCCCGAGGCUCAACCUCGGGUCUGCAGUCGAUACGAGCAGACUAGAGUGCGGUAGGGGAGAUUGGAAUUCCUGGUGUAGCGGUGGAAUGCGCAGAUAUCAGGAGGAACACCAAUGGCGAAGGCAGAUCUCUGGGCCGUAACUGACGCUGAGGAGCGAAAGCAUGGGGAGCGAACAGG